rfam:Glossina palpalis gambiensis isolate 146720 unplaced genomic scaffold Scaffold44, whole genome shotgun sequence.
CUGGUCGAUCCUGCCAAUAGCCGUAUGCUUGUCUCAAAGAUCAAGCCAUGCUUGGCUAUGCAUACACGAAUUAAAAGUGACACCGCAAAAAGUUCAUUAUAUCAGUUACGGUUCCUUAGAUCGUUAACAACUACUUGGAUGUGGAACUGUGUGUGUCUAGAGCUAAUAUAUGCAAUAUAAACACGAAGCAAUUGAACGUGUGUGCUUUUAUUAGGCUAUAACCAAGCGACCAUUUUGUUGAUUAAAUUCAAAAUAAUUUGCAGAUCGUACGGUCUUGUGCCAACGGUUGGUCUUUCAUAUGUCUGCCCUAAUAAUUUCUGAUGAUAGCAUUUAGGACUAUCAUGGUUAGAUUCCGCAAAGAAAAGGCUACGACAUCUAAGGAAGGCAGCACGACCGUAACUUACCCACUCCCACCUCGGUGAGAUAGUGACGGAAAAUAACAAUGCACGCCUCAUAUACGAGGCCCUGUAAUUGGAAUCCAUAUACUUUAAAUCGUUUAACAAGGACUUGUUGUAGGGCAAGUUUGGCGCCAGUCUGAAAUUUAACGGAAUUGCU